rnacentral:rRNA from 1 species
UACGUAGGGGGCAAGCGUUGUCCGGAUUCAUUGGGCGUAAAGCGCGUGUAGGUGGUUUUAUAAGUCACUGUUGAAAGCUCCCGGCUAAACUGGGAGAGGUGCGGUGAGACUGUAGAGCUAGAGUUUGGGAGAGGGGUGCGGAAUUCCGGGUGUAGUGGUGAAAUGCGUAGAGAUCCGGAGGAACACCAGAGGCGAAGGCGGCACCCUGGCCUAAUACUGACACUGAGACGCGAAAGCAUGGGGAGCGAACGGG